AGUGAACGCUGGCGGUAGGCCUAACACAUGCAAGUCGAACGGCAGCACAGUAAGAGCUUGCUCUUACGGGUGGCGAGUGGCGGACGGGUGAGGAAUACAUCGGAAUCUACUUUUUCGUGGGGGAUAACGUAGGGAAACUUACGCUAAUACCGCAUACGACCUACGGGUGAAAGCAGGGGAUCUUCGUACCUUGCGCGAUUGAAUGAGCCGAUGUCGGAUUAGCUAGUUGGCGGGGUAAAGGCCCACCAAGGCGACGAUCCGUAGCUGGUCUGAGAGGAUGAUCAGCCACACUGGAACUGAGACACGGUCCAGACUCCUACGGGAGGCAGCAGUGGGGAAUAUUGGACAAUGGGCGGAAGCCUGAUCCAGCCAGACCGCGUGGGUGAAGAAGGCCUUCGGGUUGUAAAGCCCUUUUGUUGGGAAAGAAAAGCAGCAGGUUAAUACCCCGCUGUUCUGACGGUACCCAAAGAAUAAGCACCGGCUAACUUCGUG
rnacentral:rRNA from 1 species